rnacentral:rRNA from 1 species
GAUGAACGCUGACAGAAUGCUUAACACAUGCAAGUCUUUGGCGAAGCUGUGCUUGCACAGCCUAGCCAAGGUGGCGGGGGGAUUAACACGUAAGGAACUUCCCCUCCAGUCAGGGAUAACAGACGGAAACGACUGAUAAGACCUGGUAAAGUCAGGCGCACCCAUGUCCAGCCUGAUGAAAAGAUAUGCUGCAGGAGAGCCUUGCGUCCUAUUAGCUUGUUGGUGGGGUAACGGCCCACCAAGGCGAUGGUAGGUGGCCGGCCUGAGAGGGUGGACGGCCACAAGGGGACUGAGAUACGGCCCUUACUCCUACGGGAGGCAGCAGUGGGAAAUAUUGGACAAUGGGGGCAACCCUGAUCCAGCAAUUCUGUGUGCGCGAUGAAGGUUUUCGGAUUGUAAAGUGCUUUCAGCAGGGAAGAAAAAAAUGACGGUACCUGCAGAAGAAGCGACGGCUAAAUACGUG